GGGUGUCAUCCUCCAUCUAUUGACACGGCUAAAGCUAAGGUUGUUGGUGUUGGAGCAAUACUACAACCUGUUUCUAGUGGUAAACAGCCAACCAUGAUGAAAAAUAUGCAUAUUUCUAAUGAUAAUGAAACUACUGAUGUAAGUGCAAUCCCCCCUCCAG